rnacentral:rRNA from 1 species
UCUUCGGCAAUGGGCGCAAGCCUGACCGAGCGACGCCGCGUGGAGGACUAAGGCCUUCGGGUUGUAAACUCCUGUCGAGGGGGAACAAGGGGCCGUGAAGAGCGGCUCUUGAGUGAUCCCUGGAGGAAGCACGGGCUAAGUUCGUGCCAGCAGCCGCGGUAAGACGAACCGUGCGAACGUUAUUCGGAAUCACUGGGCUUAAAGCGCGUGUAGGCGGGCCGGCACGUCGAUGGCUGAAAUCCCCCGGCUCAACCGGGGAAGUGGCCUCGAUACGACCGGCCUGGAGGGGGGUAGGGGGCGCCGGAACUUCCGGUGGAGCGGUGAAAUGCGUUGAGAUCGGAAGGAACGCCCGUGGCGAAAGCGGGCGCCUGGACCCCACCUGACGCUGAGACGCGAAAGCCAGGGGAGCGAACGGG